AACCAUUCUCACCUGCGGCUAGACCUGCGGAGGGAUCAUUACCGAGUUUACAACUCCCAAACCCCUGUGAACAUACCUAUAUGUUGCCUCGGCGGAUCAGCCCGCGCCCCGUAAAACGGGACGGCCCGCCGCAGGAUCCACAAACUCUGUUUUUAUUGUAACUUCUGAGUAACAAAACAAAUAAAUCAAAACUUUUAACAAUGGAUCU
rnacentral:misc_RNA from 1 species